AAAAUUACUUUACACGGGAGAAACCGUGAUCAAGAAGGCGGUCCUGAGACCACACUAUUGCACUUCGGUUGGAUUGACUUCUGCGAUUACUCCCAAUGUGGGUAACUCGGGUGUGUAAUUUUUGAUAGUGUGGAAAAUACGUUCGCGCUCAUUCCCU
rnacentral:snRNA from 1 species